UGACUCAGAGGGAAGGGUGGGUUGUGAAGAUUAUUUUCCCAGCAUCUCUUUCCUGAAACAAAGAUCAUCUGACUUGAUAGUCCUCUUGAUUGGAUGGAGACAGACUUCAAAAGGAAGUGAAUCAGGGAUGUUGUGUCUCAAAGAGAAUACACAUAUUGCCUACUAGGGAACUACUUUUUCUCCCAACGUCCUAUUUAGGGCAUUUGGAUUCUCAAGUGAAUGCUGGAAUUCAAAAUCAACGGGCAGAUCUACUUGAAUACUCACCCAUUUCCUGACACCUGACUUUUGUUCCACAUUUUUCACUCCUGCAGGAAACUGAGUGAUCACUGCCAUCUAUUGGUAACAAAUAAGCUAACAAUAGUGUCCUACUACGAUAAUGCACUAUAAAUUACAUAAUUUACCUGAAAUUUAACAUACUACAUAGUUAAAGAUGAUGAUAUAUCUUCUCAGCCUACCAUGUCUAAUGAUGAUUUUUUAGAAAAAAUUAUACUACAGCACAUGAAAUGUGCACUGUUUAUCCUAAUUUUCUUUGUGUUAUU
rnacentral:lncRNA from 1 species